rnacentral:rRNA from 1 species
GAUGAACGCUGGCGGCGUGCCUAAUACAUGCAAGUCGAGCGAACGGACGAGAAGCUUGCUUUUCUGAUGUUAGCGGCGGACGGGUGAGUAACACGUGGAUAACCUACCUAUAAGACUGGGAUAACUUCGGGAAACCGGAGCUAAUACCGGAUAAUAUUUUGAACCGCAUGGUUCAAAAGUGAAAGAUGGUCUUGCUGUCACUUAUAGAUGGAUCCGCGCUGCAUUACCUAGUUGGUAAGGUAACGGCUUACCAAGGCAACGAUGCAUAGCCGACCUGGAAGGGUGAUCGGCCACACUGGAACUGAGACACGGUCCAGACUCUUACGGAGGGAAGCGGUAGGGAAUCUUCCGCAAUGGGCGAAAGCCUGACGGAGAAACGCCGCGUGAUGGAUGAAGGUCUUCGGUUCGUAAAACUUUGUUAUUAGGGAAGAACAUAUGUGUAAGUAACAGUGCACAUCUUGACGGUACCUAAUCAGAAAGCCACGGCUAACUACGUG